UACGUAGGGUGCGAGCGUUGUCCGGAAUUAUUGGGCGUAAAGAGCUUGUAGGCGGUUUGUCGCGUCUGCCGUGAAAAUCCGGGGCUCAACCCCGGACUUGCGGUGGGUACGGGCAGACUAGAGUGUGGUAGGGGAGACUGGAAUUCCUGGUGUAGCGGUGAAAUGCGCAGAUAUCGAGAGGAACACCGGUGGCGAAGGCGGCCAACUGGACGGAUACUGACGCUGAGACACGAAAGCGUGGGGAGCAAACAGG
rnacentral:rRNA from 1 species